rnacentral:rRNA from 1 species
CAGUCGAACGGUGGACACGGGAGCUUGCUCUGUGGGAUCAGUGGCGAACGGGUGAGUAACACGUGAGCAACCUGCCCCUGACUCUGGGAUAAGCGCUGGAAACGGCGUCUAAUACUGGAUAUGUGACGUGACCGCAUGGUCUGCGUCUGGAAAGAAUUUCGGUUGGGGAUGGGCUCGCGGCCUAUCAGCUUGUUGGUGAGGUAAUGGCUCACCAAGGCGUCGACGGGUAGCCGGCCUGAGAGGGUGACCGGCCACACUGGGACUGAGACACGGCCCAGACUCCUACGGGAGGCAGCAGUGGGGAAUAUUGCACAAUGGGCGCAAGCCUGAUGCAGCAACGCCGCGUGAGGGACGACGGCCUUCGGGUUGUAAACCUCUUUUAGCAGGGAAGAAGCGAAAGUGACGGUACCUGCAGAAAAAGCGCCGGCUAACUACGUGCCAGCAGCCGCGGUAAUACGUAGGGCGCAAGCGUUAUCCGGAAUUAUUGGGCGUAAAGAGCUCGUAGGCGGUUUGUCGCGUCUGCUGUGAAAUCCGGAGGCUCAACCUCCGGCCUGCAGUGGGUACGGGCAGACUAGAGUGCGGUGGGGGAGAUUGGAAUUCCUGGUGUAGCGGUGGAAUGCGCAGAUAUCACGAGGAACACCGAUGGCGAAGGCAGAUCUCUGGGCCGUAACUGACGCUGAGGAGCGAAGGGGUGGGGAGCAUACAUGCUUAGAUACCCUGGUAGUCCA